rnacentral:rRNA from 1 species
CUUGGCGGCCAUAGCGCGGUGGUCCCACCUGAUCCCAUGCCGAACUCAGAAGUGAAACGCCGUAGCGCCGAUGGUAGUGUGGGGUCUCCCCAUGUGAGAGUAGGGGACUGCCAAGC